UUGUUUCUAUGAUGAGGGAAAGGAAUGUUGCACCUGUUAGUGGUGCCUGAUAAUGCAUGAGGAAAUAUUCCAUGCUGCCUUCCUUCUGAGAAACAG
ensembl:snoRNA small nucleolar RNA, C/D box 83B